rnacentral:rRNA from 1 species
AACGAACGCUGGCGGCAUGCCUAACACAUGCAAGUCGAACGAAGCCUUCGGGCUUAGUGGCGCACGGGUGCGUAACGCGUGGGAAUCUGCCCUUGGGUUCGGAAUAACAGUUAGAAAUGACUGCUAAUACCGGAUGAUGUCUUCGGACCAAAGAUUUAUCGCCCAAGGAUGAGCCCGCGUAGGAUUAGGUAGUUGGUGGGGUAAUGGCCCACCAAGCCGACGAUCCUUAGCUGGUCUGAGAGGAUGAUCAGCCACACUGGGACUGAGACACGGCCCAGACUCCUACGGGAGGCAGCAGUGGGGAAUAUUGGACAAUGGGCGAAAGCCUGAUCCAGCAAUGCCGCGUGAGUGAUGAAGGCCUUAGGGUUGUAAAGCUCUUUUCCCAGGGAUGAUAAUGACAGUACCUGGAGAAUAAGCUCCGGCUAACUCCGCGCCAGCAGCCGCAGUAA